rnacentral:tRNA from 1 species
CGGGAUGUAAGCUCAACUGGCAGAGCACAACGUAAGCACAGCGUUGAGGAUUGUUGGUUCGAUUCCAACCAUUCCGUCCA